GAUGAACGCUGGCGGCGUGCUUAACACAUGCAAGUCGAACGAAGCACUUUAUUUGAUUUCCUUCGGGACUGAUUAUUUUGUGACUGAGUGGCGGACGGGUGAGUAACGCGUGGGUAACCUGCCUUGUACAGGGGGAUAACAGUUGGAAACGGCUGCUAAUACCGCAUAAGCGCACGGCAUCGCAUGAUGCAGUGUGAAAAACUCCGGUGGUAUAAGAUGGACCCGCGUUGGAUUAGCUAGUAGGUGAGGUAACGGCCCACCAAGGCGACGAUCCAUAGCCGACCUGAGAGGGUGACCGGCCACAUUGGGACUGAGACACGGCCCAAACUCCUACGGGAGGCAGCAGUGGGGAAUAUUGCACAAUGGGCGAAAGCCUGAUGCAGCGACGCCGCGUGAGCGAAGAAGUAUUUCGGUAUGUAAAGCGCUAUCAGCAGGGAAGAUAAUGACGGUACCUGACGAAGAAGCACCGGCUAACUACGUG
rnacentral:rRNA from 1 species